rnacentral:rRNA from 1 species
UUGAUAGUACGCUGCCAGUAGUCAUAUGCUGUCUCUCAAAGAUUAAGCCAUGCAUGUCUAAGUACAAACCUUAAUACGGUGAAACGCGAAAUGGCUCAUUAAAUCAGCUAAUGGUUCCUUAGAAUCGUCUCAUCCUACUCGGAUAACUGUGGAAAAUCUAGAGCUAAUACGUGCUUACAAGCCCUGACCUCACGGGAGGGGCGCGCAUUUAUUAGAUCAAAACCAAUCGGGGGCUUGUGCCCCGUCUGCUUUGGUGACUCUGGAUAACUUUUGUGUGCUGAUCGCAUGGCCUCUGGCGCUGGCGACGUAUCUUUUCAAGUGUCUGCCCUAUCAACUUACGAUGGUAGGUGAUAUGCCUACCAUGGUUUAUAACGGGUAACGGGGAAUCAGGGUUCGAUUCCGGAGAGGGAGCCUGAGAAACGGCUACCACAUCUAAGGAAGGCAGCAGGCGCGCAAAAUUACCACUCCCGGCACGGGGAGGUAGUGACCGAAAAAUAACGAUACGGACUCUUUUGAGGCCCCGUAAUUGGAAUGAGUACACUUUUAAAUCCGUUAACAAAGUAUCUAUUGGAGGGCAAGUCUGGUGCCAGCAGCCGCGGUAAUUCCAGCUCAAUAGCGUAUAUUAAUGUUGUGGGGCUGACCUGCAGUUAAAAAAGCUCGUAGUUUGGAAUCUGAGGACUUCGAAUUGGGGUGCACCAUACGGUGUUACUGCCAUUGAUUCGGCCUACCUAGUCGUGCUGCGUCUCUUGGUGUUCUUAAAUUGAAUGGCCCUGAGUGCCCGGCAAGUUUACUUUGAAAAAAAUUAGAGUGCUCAAAGCAGGCCAUUAGCCGGAAUACUUCAGCAUGGAAUAAUGAAUAGGACUUCGGUUCUAUUUGUUGGUUUUCGGAACCCGAGGUAAUGAUUAAGAGAGACAGAACGGGGCAUUCGUACUGCGGUGUUAGAGGUGAAAUUCGCUUUGGAUCGAUUGCCCGCAAGACGAAACAACUGCGAAAGCAUUUUGCCAAGAAUGUUUUCAUUAAUCAAGGAACGAAAGUCAGAAAGUCAGAGUUUCGAAGACAUCUACGGGCGCAGUUAGCUGGACCAUAAACGAUGCCAACUGGGCCAAGGCAUCCGAUCGAUUACCGUCCUAGUUUACGCCAUAAUACGAUGCCAACCUGGCCGAAUCCGAGAUGCGUUUGCUUUACGGCCUCGGCCGGCAAGCCUCCGGGAAACCAAAGUUUUUAGGUUCCGGGGGAAGUAUGGUUGCAAAGCUGGAACUGGGGCAAAAAAAAAGUGGCAAGGCAUUGCGAUCUGCGUUCCUGUCAAGGGUAAAAGAACCUGAAGGUCAGCUCUGAUCCCUAUGCUGUGGAAGGGCGAACAGCUGCCCAUGGUUAAAAGCAUAGAUGACUUUAUCAGUUACCUUGGUGUCAAAGUAUCGUGUGACUGGUAGGUUAUUUGGUCGGUGGAUCAGCUGAGGCUAUGGCUAGGACAGGGUCAUGAAAGCACCCUUUGAAGCCAGACCAAAAGAUCAAGGGGAUUAAAGAGGGUUCUAAUCGGUAGGGCUGACAUACCAACUCAGGCUAAAACGAAGCGCGUGUCUGCGAGUUGAGAAGCGAGUAACUAGAAUGGUCCGUAAAGCAUGCGUAAACAGAUCCUACACAUGCAGUUAGGUGCGCCUAAUGCGUGGGCCCACUUACCUGCUUCGUAAAUGCGCGGCCUCGGGCUACCUGACUUUGAGCUCACAAUUCCGCUAAUGC